rnacentral:rRNA from 1 species
ACGGAAGGCAGCAGUGGGGAAUAUUGCACAAUGGGCGUAAGCCUGAUGCAGCGACGCCGCGUGAGUGAAGAAGUAUUUCGGUAUGUAAAGCUCUAUCAGCAGGGAAGAAAAAUGACGAUACCUGACUAAGAAGCACCGGCUAAAUACGUGCCAGCAGCCGCGGUAAUACGUAUGGUGCAAGCGUUAUCCGGAUUUACUGGGUGUAAAGGGCGCGUAGGCGGGAUUGCAAGUCAGAUGUGAAAUCCAUGGGCUCAACCCAUGAACUGCAUUUGAAACUGUGAUUCUUGAGUAUCGGAGAGGCAAGCGGAAUUCCUAGUGUAGCGGUGAAAUGCGUAGAUAUUAGGAGGAACACCAGUGGCGAAGGCGGCUUGCUGGACGAAAACUGACGCUGAGGCGCGAAAGCGUGGGGAGCAAACAGGAUUAGAUACCCUGGUA